GAUGAACGCUGGCGGCGUGCCUAAUACAUGCAAGUCGAGCGAACGGACGAGAAGCUUGCUUCUCUGAUGUUAGCGGCGGGCGGGUGAGUAACACGUGGAUAACCUACCUAUAAGACUGGGAUAACUUCGGGAAACCGGAGCUAAUACCGGAUAAUAUUUUGAACCGCAUGGUUCAAAAGUGAAAGACGGUCUUGCUGUCACUUAUAGAUGGUUCCGCGUUGCAUUAGCUAGUUGGUACGGUAACGGCUUACCAAGGCAACGAUGCAUAGCCGACCUGAGAGGGUGAUCGGCCACACUGGAACUGAGACACGGUCCAGACUCCUACGGGAGGCAGCAGUAGGGAAUCUUCCGCAAUGGGCGAAAGCCUGACGGAGCAACGCCGCGUGAGUGAUGAAGGUCUUCGGAUCGUAAAACUCUUUUAUUAGGGAAGAACAGAUGUAUAAGUAACUGUGCACAUCUUGACGGUACCUAAUCAGAAAGCCACGGCUAACUACGUG
rnacentral:rRNA from 1 species